rnacentral:lncRNA from 10 species
GUUACAAAUAAUGCAAUCUUUAAGUUUUCUUAAAGGAAAACUUACAACACUAGUUGUCUAUAUUAGAAUAGAAGAAAAUUAUCAAAUUGGUCAUCUCAACUUCUAUCUUAAGAAACUAGGGAAAAAAGCAAAUUAAACCCAAAAUAAACAGAAGAAGAGGUAAUAAUGAUAAAAUCAGAAGUCCAAGAAAUAAAAAAAGGAAAAACAAUGGAGAAAAGCUAAUAAAACCACAAGUUUGUUCUUUGAGAAAAAUCAAUAAAAUUGAUAAACCUCUAGCCAAACAGAUUGGAGGGGAAAAAAAAAGAGAGAAGGCCCUCACCAGGAUGCUAGCAUAUCACUCUUGAUUUCCCAGCCUCCAGAACCAUAAGCCAAUAAAUUCUUGGUUAUUAUAGAUUGACCGGUCUGUGUAUUCUGUUAUAGCAGCACAAAACAGCCUAAGACAUAUACAAACUAAUGAGCUCAUGAAGAACUAGAUAAUAUGAGCAACACUGUAUUUAUUAAAGAAAUGAUACUUUUAGUUAAACAAAAUGUGAAAUUUUGUUUUGUCAAACAAAACUCCAGGCCCAGCUGGGUUCACUGAUGAGUUCUACAAAACAUCUAAGGAAAAAAAAAUACACCAAUUGUACACACUAUUCCAGAAAAUAAUGAGGAGAGAAGACUUCUCAUCUCAAUAUAUGAAGCCAUCUGAUACCAAAACCAGGCAAGGACAUUACAAGAAAAAACAACUAAAGCCCAC